UGGUCAGAGAAGGGGCUCCUUUGCCGGGAAGACAAAUCAGGAAGUGAGGAACUAAGAAGGAAAUGCCUUUGUGAUGAUGUCUGUAAGGGAGGGUCCUCUUUCAUUUUUGCAUUCCAGACAUCAGAAGUUGGUGCUGGAGGAGUGCUAGUUGACGUCCAUGACCAUAAAGGUCUUUAAUAUCAUCUGGAAUCAGCUAAUUUGGACAACACAGUGUAGAACCACGCGGGGACUCGCCUCGAAGCCGCAAGCAUGCAGAGACAUCUCAGCUGAACCAGCACACAAAGUCACAUGAUGUCAAACAAACUUAUCCAAUUGAGUCAACACCACCGUAGCCUGAGGCAACCAGUGUCCUGGCCCGAGAAGCCCUUUUUAUGCUAUCAUCAGCCAAAAAGAGUUUUGUUAUGAACGCCCUGACAUAAGAAGCAAAGAUGGCAGCUCACCUCCAUUAACCACCAACCACCGCACGGCCCGUCUCCCACCGCCAGCCAGGCGCCCUGAAGCCGAGCAGCCGCCGUCGAGAGAAGCUUGUAUGUCCGCCUGCCUGCUGGAGGCUGAGUGGCCGCCUGAGCCCCGCCAGGCCAGCGGCCAGCCCGGCUGAUGUCACCGGGCCGGGGAGGGGCUCGGGCGGGUACAGCCCUUCCCCACCACCGUCAUCAACACACACACAUCAUUAUGUUAUAUGCGACAAAAACAUGCAUAAUCUGAAUAUAAAACGUAAUCAUGUAAACAACACCCCGCAAAUACACUACAGUCACAAUACAUUAAUUAAAUUACACUAUUCAUAACUUUAAUAAAAUGCCCAAACCCUCUUAUGAAGUAUUUUAAUCAAUUUCAUUAUAUUGCAAGAGGAUAAUUGCACUUCCGGUAUAGGUUCUCUUAUUGAGAGUAAAGCAUGUACAAUCAAUUUAUGACAAAACGCUUAACAUUGAAUGAUUAACAUUAACAUUUCACUUAACAUUGCUCUAUU